rnacentral:rRNA from 1 species
UGAGAUAAGGACCAGACUUCUACGGAAGGCAGCAGUGAGGAAUAUUGGUCAAUGGAGGAAACUCUGAAACCAGCUACGCCGCGUGUUGGAUGAAAGUCUUUUAGAUUGUAAACUUCUUUUGCAUAGAAAUAAAAGUUACUACGUGAUAGUAAUCUGAAGGUACUAUGCGAAUAAGUGUCGGCUAAUUUCGUGCCAGCAGCCGCGGCAAUACGAAAGACACAAGCGUUAUCCGGAUUUAUUGGGUUUAAAGGGUGUGUAGGCUGUUUAUUAAGUCAGUAGUGAAAGCUUACAGCUUAACUGUAAAAUUGCUAUUGAUACUGAUAAGCUUGAGUAAGAUUGGAGCAUCUGGAAUGUAUGGUGUAGCGGUGAAAUGCAUAGAUAUCAUACAGAACACCAAUAGCGAAGGCAGGAUGCUAAAUCUUCACUGACGCUGAGGCACGAAAGCGUGGGUAGCAAACAGGAUUAGAUACCCUGGUAGUCCACGCCAUAAACGAUGAUCACUAGCUAUUGGAAAAACUAUAUUCAGUGGCUAAGCCAAAGCGAUAAGUGAUCCACCUGGGAAGUACGAUCGCAAGAUUGAAACUCAAAGGAAUUGACGGGGUUCCGCACAAGCGGUGGAGCAUGUGGUUUAAUUCGAUGAUACGCGAGAAACCUUACCAAGGCUUAAAUGUAUUACGAAUAAGCUGGAAACAACUUAGUCUAUAAGACGUAAUACAAGGUGCUGCAUGGUUGUCAUCAGUUCGUGCUGUGAAGUGUUUGGUUAAGUCCUAUAACGAGCGCAACCCUUAUUGUUAGUUGCCAUCGGGUAAAGCCGGGGACUCUAACAAAACUGCCGAUGAAAAUCGCGAGGAAGGUGGGGAUAAUGUCAA